AACGAACGUUGGCGGCGUGGAUUAGGCAUGCAAGUCGAACGAGAAAGCCACCUUCGGGUGGUUAGUAAAGUGGCGAACGGGUGAGUAACGCGUGGGAAAUCUGCCCUACAGUUGGGGAUAACACUCCUAACGGAGUGCUAAUACCGAAUGAGACCACGAGAUCGCAUGGUCUUGAGGUUGAAGGUGGCCUCUCCUUGGAAGCUACCGCUGCAGGAGGAUCCCGCGUCCCAUUAGCUUGUUGGCAGGGUAACGGCCUACCAAGGCUUCGAUGGGUAGCUGGUCUGAGAGGAUGGUCAGCCACACUGGGACUGAGAUACGGCCCAGACUCCUACGGGAGGCAGCAGUCGAGAGGCUUCGGCAAUGGGGGAAACCCUGACCGAGCGACGCCGCGUGGGCGAUGAAGGUUGUAAGAUCGUAAAGCCCUGUCAGGAGGGAAGAACUGCCAAUGGGCAAACAGGCCAUUGGUUUGACGGUACCUCCAGAGGAAGCUCCGGCUAACUCCGUGCCAG
rnacentral:rRNA from 1 species